UACGUAGGGUGCGAGCGUUGUCCGGAAUUAUUGGGCGUAAAGGGCUCGUAGGCGGUUGUCGCGUCGGGAGUGAAAACACUGGGCUUAACUCAGUGCUUGCUUCCGAUACGGGCAGACUAGAGGUAUGCAGGGGAGAACGGAAUUCCUGGUGUAGCGGUGAAAUGCGCAGAUAUCAGGAGGAACACCCGUGGCGAAGGCGGCUCUCUGGGACGGUACUGACGCUGAGACGCGAAAGCGUGGGGAGCGAACAGG
rnacentral:rRNA from 1 species